CCUACGGGUGGCUGCAGUGGGGGAUAUUGCACAAUGGGGGGAACCCUGAUGCAGCGACGCCGCGUGGGUGAAGGAGCGUUUCGGCGCGUAAAGCCCUAUCGGCAGGGAAGAAGAUGACGGUACCUGACCAAGAAGCCCCGGCUAACUACGUGCCAGCAGCCGCGGUAAUACGUAGGGGGCAAGCGUUAUCCGGAUUUACUGGGUGUAAAGGGGGCGCAGACGGCAAUGCAAGCCAGGAGUGAAAGCCCGGGGCCCAACCCCGGGACUGCUCUUGAAACUGCAUGGCUGGAGUACAGGAGGGGCAAGGGGAAUUCCGAGGGUAGCGGGGGAAUGCGUAGAUAUUAGGAGGAACACCAGUGGCGAAGGCGGCCUACUGGACUGUGACUGACGUUGAGGCCCGAAAGCGUGGGGAGCAAACAGGAUUAGAUACCCGGGUAGUC
rnacentral:rRNA from 1 species